CCAAAGGACCCCAAGAAGCUAGAGACUGCAAGGCUGACAGAACAUCACAGUCAUCCUGAAGAUGUUUAGAAGUAGUACAAGAAAGACUACAAGAGCCAUAAGGGCUCCAGAAUUCGCCCGAGCAGCCAGAUUAUGAGCAGCGUCAUUUUGACAUCUUGGAUUUUUAAUGACCUGAAAGAUACUGAACAACAAGAAGGCAAUCAGAAGCCAACUGUAUGGAUGGAACCUGCAAGGCAGAAGCUAUUUUUUUGCAGCCAACAAAAGGGCUGACAGUUCUCCCAUUGCCACCGAGUUCACCCUAGUGUUUGCAAGGACUUGCAAACAGCAUGAAUGUGCAGAUGAUCUGAGAUCAAUGACCACUCCCAAACUUGCAACACGAGAAGCAUUACCUUGACCAUCCGGUGAAAGAGCUGCAUCCGUGUAAGCGACAACAGGAGGCAAUAAAGGCACAAUAGCUGAAGGGCCUGCAUGUCCUGCACAAUAGCUGAAGAGACAAUAAAGGCAAUACAUUGGUUAGUAGUAUAGUUUGGAGUACCAUUCUGUGUUGGUGCAUCCCUGUUAUCAGAAUACUGAAAGGCAUAUAAUGUAGUUGUAGCUAUGUCAGCUUGCACCUCAUGGCCUACCCUGUUCACCGACCGUCUCUUGUUAUUGAAUCUGUAACCAUUUCUUGCUCUC